GAUGAACGCUGGCGGCGUGCCUAAUACAUGCAAGUCGAGCGAACAGACGAGGAGCUUGCUCCUCUGACGUUAGCGGCGGACGGGUGAGUAACACGUGGAUAACCUACCUAUAAGACUGGGAUAACUUCGGGAAACCGGAGCUAAUACCGGAUAACAUGUUGAACCGCAUGGUUCAACAGUGAAAGACGGUCUUGCUGUCACUUAUAGAUGGAUCCACGCCGCAUUAGCUAGUUGGUAAGGUAACGGCUUACCAAGGCAACGAUGCGUAGCCGACCUGAGAGGGUGAUCGGCCACACUGGAACUGAGACACGGUCCAGACUCCUACGGGAGGCAGCAGUAGGGAAUCUUCCGCAAUGGGCGAAAGCCUGACGGAGCAACGCCGCGUGAGUGAUGAAGGUCUUCGGAUCGUAAAACUCUGUUAUUAGGGGAGAACAAAUGUGUAAGUAACUAUGCACGUCUUGACGGUACCUAAUCAGAAAGCCACGGCUAACUACGUG
rnacentral:rRNA from 1 species